ACGCACGCUGGCGGCGUGCUUAACACAUGCAAGUCGAACGGAAAGGCCCUGCUUUUGUGGGGUGCUCGAGUGGCGAACGGGUGAGUAACACGUGAGUAACCUGCCCUUGACUUUGGGAUAACUUCAGGAAACUGGGGCUAAUACCGGAUAGGAGCUCCUGCUGCAUGGUGGGGGUUGGAAAGUUUCGGCGGUUGGGGAUGGACUCGCGGCUUAUCAGCUUGUUGGUGGGGUAGUGGCUUACCAAGGCUUUGACGGGUAGCCGGCCUGAGAGGGUGACCGGCCACAUUGGGACUGAGAUACGGCCCAGACUCCUACGGGAGGCAGCAGUGGGGAAUAUUGCACAAUGGGCGGAAGCCUGAUGCAGCAACGCCGCGUGCGGGAUGACGGCCUUCUGGUUGUAAACCGCUUUCGCCUGUGACGAAGCGUGAGUGACGGUAAUGGGUAAAGAAGCACCGGCUAACUACGUG
rnacentral:rRNA from 1 species